AAAGAAACUAACAAGGAUUCCCCUAGUAACGGCGAGUGAAGCGGGAAAAGCUCAAAUUUGUAAUCUGGCGCCUUGGGCGUCCGAGUUGUAAUCUCGAGAAGUAUUUUCCGCGCUGGACCGCACAUAAGUCUGUUGGAAUACAGCGUCAUAGUGGUGAGAACCCCGUAUAGGGUGCGGAUGCCCAGUGCUUUGUGAUAUACUUUCGAAGAGUCGAGUUGUUUGGGAAUGCAGCUCAAAUUGGGUGGUAAAUUCCUCUAAGCUAAAUAUUGGCGAGAGACCGAUAGCGAACAAGUACCGUGAGGGAAAGAUGAAAAGCACUUUGGAAAGAGAGUUAACAGUACGUGAAAUUGUUGGAAGGGAAACGCUUGAAGUCAGACUUGCAUUUUGGAGUUCAGCCGCAAGGUGUAUUCUUCAAUUCGCAGGCCAGCAUCAGUUUCUGGGGGUGGAAAAGCGCGGUUGGAAGGUAGCAGUCUCGGCUGUGUUAUAGCUUUCCGCUGGAUUCACUUUUGGGGACUGAGGAACGCAGUACGCUUUUUGCAAGAUUCUCGAGUCUUUCGUACUUAGGAUGCUGGUGGAAUGGCUUUAAACGACCCGUCUUGAAACACGGACCAAGGAGUCUAACAUGCUUGCGAGUGUUUGGGUGUUAAACCCGGACGCGUAAUGAAAGUGAAUGGAGGUGGGAUCCGCAAGGUGCACCAUCGACCGAUCUGGAUUUUCUAAGAUGGAUUUGAGUAAGAGCAAUUAUGUUGGGACCCGAAAGAUGGUGAACUAUGCCUGAAUAGGGUGAAGCCAGAGGAAACUCUGGUGGAGGCUCGUAGCGGUUCUGACGUGCAAUCGAUCGUCAAUUUGGGUAUAGGGG
rnacentral:rRNA from 1 species